rnacentral:rRNA from 1 species
GUGUCAGCCGCCGCGGUAAUACAGAGGGGGCAAGCGUUAUUCGGAAUUAUUGGGCGUAAAGGGCGCGUAGGCGGUUUUUUAAGUCAGAUGUGUAAUCCCCGAGCUUAACUUGGGAACUGCAUCUGAGACUGGAAGGCUAGAGUACUGGAGAGGGUGGUGGAAUUCCUCGUGUAGCGGUGAAAUGCGUAGAGAUGAGGAGGAACACCAGUGGCGAAGGCGGCCACCUGGACAGUAACUGACGCUGAGGCGCGAAAGUGUGGGUAGCAAACAGGAUUAGAAACCCCAGUAGUCC